AUCAUUGACGACGUAGCGAGACUA
rnacentral:siRNA from 1 species